CCUACGGGGGGCAGCAGUGGGGAAUAUUGGACAAUGGGGGGAACCCUGAUCCAGCCAUGCCGCGUGUGUGAAGAAGGCCCUCGGGUUGUAAAGCACUUUCAGUGAGGAAGAACGCCUGGUGGUUAAUACCCAUCAGGAAAGACAUCACUCACAGAAGAAGCACCGGCUAACUCCGUGCCAGCAGCCGCGGUAAUACGGAGGGUGCGAGCGUUAAUCGGAAUUACUGGGCGUAAAGCGCGCGUAGGUGGCUUGAUAAGCCGGUUGUGAAAGCCCCGGGCUCAACCUGGGAACGGCAUCCGGAACUGUCAAGCUAGAGUGCAGGAGAGGAAGGUAGAAUUCCCGGUGUAGCGGUGAAAUGCGUAGAGAUCGGGAGGAAUACCAGUGGCGAAGGCGGCCUUCUGGACUGACACUGACACUGAGGUGCGAAAGCGUGGGUGGCAAACAGGAUUAGAUACCCCGGUAGUC
rnacentral:rRNA from 1 species